UUGAAGGGAAGUGGUAGCUGAGACUGAAGCUAUGAUCUCUUCAUUCCCUGCCUAAGGCUCAAACCAAGACUCACCAGUCUUUUAGCCUGCAAGAUCUUUGAUGGGGUAGAAAGAUGAACAAAACGCUCUGCUUUCUGAGACACCAGAUUGUAGAGGGAAGUGGAGAUAAGAAUCUGAAGAACUAUGAAAAACAACGAAAGAUGAUUAUGCCAAAGGAGUUCAUCAUUUAGGCAGAUAGACAAAGGCAGGAAGGCUGUAGUAAUUACUGAACACCAGAAACCAGAGAAUUGUCAAGUCCUCGAGAUGCAAGGAUGUCCUCAGAUGUCCCCUGGUCCAGCCACCUCUGCAGUACUGAUGUCUUGGGCAACGCUCCAUCCAGUGGCCAUGUCAGCUCUGCUCGAAUGAUCCGAGAGCCCAUUUUAUUGUUGGCUUCUGCUGAAAUAGAAACUUGGACCAAGCCAUUACAAAACCUUUGAAAGUCCUGAAGAUCAUGAAAUAAAGAGCUGCUUUGGGG